UACGUAGGGUGCGAGCGUUGUCCGGAAUUAUUGGGCGUAAAGGGCUCGUAGGCGGUUUGUCGCGUCGGGAGUGAAAACUCAGGGCUUAACCCUGAGCCUGCUUCUGAUACGGGCAGACUAGAGGUAUGCAGGGGAGAACGGAAUUCCUGGUGUAGCGGUGAAAUGCGCAGAUAUCAGGAGGAACACCGGUGGCGAAGGCGGUUCUCUGGGCAUUACCUGACGCUGAGGAGCGAAAGUGUGGGGAGCGAACAGG
rnacentral:rRNA from 1 species